rnacentral:lncRNA from 1 species
AACUCUUUGGGGAGAAUUCUUCAAAAUCUCCUAAGCUUGCUUUGCAUUGGUAACAUCGGCCACUGUUAGAAAUAUAGAUUCAUCAAAACAUUGAUGGAUGAGUGCAAUGGUUUGUUGAUCCUUCUUCUUUGUUCUUGCCAAAACAUUCUUCUCAUUUUGAGUUAAGGAUAUUUUAUCUUCGGGUGGAGUAAAGUCUCUUUCUACAAUAUCUCACACAUCUUGUAAGCCAAGUAUGGCUUUUAUAUAGAAGCAUCAACUCUCAUAGUUUUCUUUUGUAAUAUGAAAAAAUUAGAAAGAAAAUAGAUUAUUGUUAGUCAUCUCUAGAAUUUUAACAAGAAAUCAAACUAUAAUACCACUUUGUUGGAGAUAAGAGGAAGAUAUUAGAGAGACUAAUGAGAAGACUCAAGC